rnacentral:misc_RNA from 1 species
ACAUUCUAUAUUGAUCUAGCUGAUCAGCUAAGCAGUGAUGAAAAUGUUUUUAUCUUGGAGAGUUACAUUUCAAAUUUUAGUACUCUGCAGCAUUAGUGAAGGUCUAAUUCAAAAUGACUGGGACACACUAGCUUAUGAAACCACUAUCAGGUAUUUCAAUCCAUCUAAGUUUACUGGAGGUGAAGAGGAUAUUUGGACUGAACUGGGAGAAGAUAUUUCGUGCUAUGUCCAUGAAGAUCUCAGUGUUGACAUAACUCUUCCAGAGGACUUUAGUUCAGACAAGGGAAUCAAAGUCUAUACCCAUGGUUUCAGUGCUGAUGUUUCAAGAGCUGUUGUUUAUGUUAAAGCAUGGAUGGAAGCACAUGAUGUCAAUGUUAUUCUUGUGGAAUGGAAAAAUUUGGCCUUUGCUGGUCAGAUAACUGACUGGGAUAGCUAUUCCUAUGAUUCAGCAGCACGCAACAGCAUUGACAUAGGAGAAUAUCUAGGACACUGUAUUCAUUCUUUGACAAAGACCAAAGGAAUAGAUCCUUCUACAGUUCAUCUCACUGGCCAUAGUUUAGGUGCCCACUUAAUGGGUAAAGCAGCUAGACAGUAUAGAGAUUUACAGGGUGAAAGACUAGGAAGAGUAUCAGGAUUAGAUCCUGCUGGUCCAAGGUUUAUAGAUGGACCUAUCAUGUCUGCAAUUCCAGAGCUUCAUGAUAACCGACUUAACCAUGAAUCAGCAAGUUUUGUAGACAUCAUUCAUACUGAUGGUUCCUUUACCCCAGCAGCUGUAUGGGUAGAACCUAGGCUAGGAGAUCUUAAUCAGCUAGGUCAUAUGGAUUUCUAUCCAGUGGGAGGAGAAGAACAGCCUGGAUGUACACUUGGAGGCUCUGAUGCUUUGCCAUUUAGUGUCUGCAGUCAUAAUAGGGCCAUGUACUACUUCUUUCAUUCUAUUCUGGAGAAAAAUUUGUUUCCAAGCCAAGUUUGCAUCAAUGUAACAAGUUGUAAUCAGGGUGAGAUUGUUUCUGAUGAUAUAAUUGCUUACAUGGGAGACUUAAGUCAGGUGUAAGUAGGUUGAUUCAAAAUGACUGGGAAACUCUAGCUGAAGGGACAACUUUAAGGUACUUUAAUCCAGACAAAUAUUAUACUGGAGCAUCAGAAGA